GAUCCUUGAGAAUCGAAGCGAUGAGCUCUACACCUCUUCGUUCUCACUUCGCUGAAACGCUUCACCAAAAAUCUCAGCGCUGCCAUUACAUCCACCUACUCUAGAAGAGAGAAGUGAAAGAUUACUGCGUGUGGCUCAUUAGGAAUGUUUUAUUUUGUCUGCAAUUUUUUUCCCCCCGUCUAUUGUCUCUCCACCCUCUUAGCAAAAGUCUCGGCGGAAUCACAGCCCUGGGUGCAUCACAGCGAUGAGAUAAAUGCAGAAAAUGAACUGGAAGAAAACAGGGAGGCGAGAAAAACGCGCGGCUGGCCGACGAUGGCCGAAAACUGAAAGGAGAAAUGGUUACACUGCAUCGCCAGCUUGCCUCAUCUGAAUCCCUGACUCCUGACCUCCCCUGAGGAAGGUGCUCACUGUCAGAAGAAACCCCGGCAUCCUACCGCCACAGAAAGGUGAUUCCUUUAAAGCGCCAGAAACGGAUGAAGGAGCGAGAGGGGGCUGCGCGAGGUGGGCAGACGGGGAGGGGAGCUGUCGCUUGUGUCAGGUUAACCUCAGAGACACAUCCGGAGCUCAGCAUCUGGGAGACGGAGGGGAGAGAGGCACCGUCGCUCCAUUUGGUGCAAGUUCAAGAUGAACAUACAAACAUCUACCACAGAAGCAGAAAAAGACGUACUGCAAGUUUGGAAAGCAUCAAAGAGUUUCUGCCAGGCAAGCGCUCUUAGCUUACCCCUUUAGACCACCAUCUUUUGAUUUCUGAAGUUACACAUAUAGGAAGAGUUACUAUCAGAAGCCAGGAAGGAGUGAAAAGGGGGAAAAAGAACUAUAAGCGUUUCAAGCUAUUGCUGAAACAAUCCAAUUACAAUGCCUAUCAAACAUAGCUUCACAGGUUAUAGCUUCUAAUUGCCUGACAAAAAUUGACACUUCAGUCGCAACACUGUAAUAUAAUAGAGGGCCAAAUUAAAUUUGAUCGAGGGGCAGAAAACGAUGCUAUCAUUCAGCCGUGCGGAAAAGAGAUCAACUUGCAUGAUAUAAUGGAUCAAAAAUGAAAAUUAUUCAUUAAUCGUGUUGGGUUUUCAAAUAAUGGAAAUGACACAGUUCAGACGCUGCCAUAAAAACACUAUUAAUUAAAGAGAUGAUAGAUCUAACAAGGCAUGGAACCGAGAGAAGUCUUCCUCCACUCCUCUCUGAGGUGAAGGAUUGUGGGAAUGGGCUGACUGACAGGUCACUUCUCAGCAUGACGAGUGUAAUGUGUGUGUAUGUGUGUGUGUGUGUGUGUAUGUGUGAAUCAGUGGCAUGUGGACUUCCGAAUGAUGAUGCAAAAUUAUGAGAGCCUGAGAUUUUUUAAUUCAUGUUCCAGUUCUGAUUGAUGUUAUAUAUAUAUAUAUGUGUGUGUGUGUGUGUGUGUGUGUACAAAAAAAUAUAAAAACUUUACAUUACAUACAAUAUAUUAUAUUAUAUUUAUUUAUAUUUAUUAUAUAAUACUAUUUAUUAAAACUAAAAAAUAUAAAUGUGUGUGUGUGUGUGUGUGUGUGUGUGUGUGUGUGUGUGUGUGUGUGUGUGUGUGUGUGUGUGUGAAAAAUAGAUACUAUAGAAAUAUGUAAAAAAAAUACUAUUACAUAUAAAUUUAUAUUACAUAUAAAAAUGUGUUAUUAUAAAUACUAUUUAUUAUAUAUAAUACAUUUAAUUAACUGUAUAUUAGUUACUCAGAAAUUAUUACGUUUCAUAUAUAUUAUUUAUUACAACCAUAACAUAUAAAAACAAUAUAAUAAUAAUAAUAUAUACUGUAAAAUAUGAAAUGAAUAUCUACAUUUUUUGAAACACCACUGCCUCUUUUACCUAUUCACAGAAAACACCUCUGGUGUGUGAGUGUGUAAAAGGCAAGAUGCCCAUUAUUCAGCAGCAGAUGAGAUGUGUGCAUGUGUCUGUGAGAAAGAGGCAGAUGAAGAGAGGAAGAUAAGAGAAAAAGAUGACAGCACUCAAAGGCUAAAGGCAGUGCUUUCUCUCAUCUCCUGACCACCGGCUGACCUUAGACUGAGAGCCGAGAGCCGACGGAGUGACCCGGGUCCCCGUAACCCUGAAGAAGUGAGCGUGAGGCUCCCCAGCCAAACCCACCGGAGCUCCAGCCCUGUAAUUGGGUCAAAGCUCCGCAUUGCCUUAUUGAUGUGCAAAUGCUAACCGUCGAGGCAUGUCACUCUCAGCCAUAUUAGAGAACACCUCGAGGAUGACUGCAGGAGAUCAAUGACACCAAUGCACCAUUUCAUAUCAAACCCAAAACAUGAGAGGGGUGCCGUUCAUUAAAAUUUAGGCCAUCAAGAAAUAUCCAAUUCAAAAGAAAUGUCUAAUUUGAAGCGGUCCUUGACAGGACACGAUCAUAUCAUAUUUAACAACCAGUUUUGACAUGAGUUAUGCCACCCUAAAAAAGGUUGUUCUCAUAAAAUUAUGAUAAUAAUUAAAAUGAUGGGAAGUAUGAACAUGUCAGUUAACCAGGAGAAAGUACAGUCAGUCAGAAAUUCAAAAGAUGUAAGUUGUCAUAAGUAUUUUUUAGAGUUUCUAAAUACAUCAACAUACAUCAUAAAGUUAUGGAGGACAUACGAUGUAUGAACAUAUCAGUGGUUAUUUCUCUGAAGAGAAAAAGAAAACAGUAUAUAACGAAUAAGAAAAAAAUAGAUACAAAAAUAAAGCAAAACAAAAAACUAAACCA
ensembl:lncRNA